AAGGGAACAAGAACUUAAACAACUACAGUUCUUUUUGAUGUCCAAGAUUCUUAAAUAUGCCUGUAAGAAUAUAAUAUGUCUUUGUGGGACGGUUUCAAAGAAGGAGGAGGGUAACAAUUCUUCAUCAAAUUUGUUGCAAGGGGUUCAGAAGAAUUGGCUGAAGUCGAAGCAGAACUGGAUGCUGAUUUGAAGGCUAAUGGUAAAUCUCAAAAAGACAGUAGUAAGAUA